GUUUCCGUGGUGUAGAUGGUUAUCACAUCCGCUUAACACGCGGAAGGUCCUGAGUUUCAAUCCUCAGCGGAAACA